ACUGGCAGGGCUGUUCUUUCCUUCGUCAGCGUUCUAGUUGGUGGUAAAGCUGCGUUAGUGAUGCCUGUGAACGGCAAAAAAAAAGCUGCAAAUAUCAGUGAAGAGACUAAUACUACUGGAGGGGCUAGGAAGAGAAAGAAAAGACAGAGUAAAUAUGUAUUAUUUCCAUUUAUCUGCACGGUGUAGCUUGGAGAACGCUUCCCAGGCUGUCCACAUCAGUCGUGCUCGCACGACGUGAAACGCACAAUAAUCUGCAUCGGUGCUGUGCGAAGCGAUGGAGGGAACGGUGAGACGGGGCCCUGUGAUGCAGUGCGGCACAGCUUUCCGCUCUGGAUAGCCACGAAGGAACCGAUGCUGGCUUUGUUCUAACCAAACCAGUGCAACUGCCAAGAAGAGUCUUAAAGCGGAGUUAUACUGCUCCUUUCUGUGGACUGUUGCAUGUGGUCUUGCUGCACAGAUACACUGCUAUGGCGUGUUCUGGCUUGUGUGGAAUCUGCUCCUGAGACAGCACUAUUUUUAGUGAGUAACCUUGUCCCACAGACCUAGAGUUACCAGAUUUGAAAGAAGCACGCACAUCAUUUCUGACCGUUACCUCUGUAUGACUGGAGACCCAGGAACUUGGCGUGUCCCUGUGCAUCUUGGUAGUGCACAUUCACAGUAUCAUCAGGUGCGACAGUAAGCUGAGCUGACUUGAAGACUGCGUUGCUGCUUCUCCAGAAGGAUGAUGGACUUUGCAGCUGAGGUUAUUAACAAGCUAACAGAGGAGAUUUAUAACGUACAGGCUAAGAACGGAGAGUUUCCCAUGGUGUCAGCGUUCUGAUCUGAAACUCGCCCCUGCUUUUCUAACACACCUGCUGAUCUCCAGCUUGCACAUCUUUCAUCAUGCCCAAGGCUGCCCUGUGCAACUUGAGGGUCAGCAAGGAGAGACUGAGUGGAGCAUGCCCAAAUUCCUAUAAUGGGGCAAACGGAUGCCUGACUAAGGGAUUUUGAUUCUAGGAACUGUUUGUGUACCGUAAUUUCUUUUUUUCUUGACCGGUUCAUGCGUACCUUUUGCUGUGGGCUUUUUAUUUUUCACUUUCUUUGGGAGUUAGAGGGGAACAAGUACAGAUACUGGAUUGUCAGAUUAGAAGUUACUGUAACUUUUCUUUUCAAGGUGAGAGAAACAUCUCUAUUGGUUUUGUAAGCUAUUAUUAAAAAGUCUUCAGCAUGCCUGGAGAAUCACCACUACAGGUCCCUGCAGGCCAGCUGCCAUUUUGUGUAGCACUGACACCCUUCGGAGCUCCGGCUGGAGGAGGUCGGUAGCCUUAACGCUGCAAAGCCGCCCCCUUGGACUUUGGUAUGUUCACGUCUCCUCUUCCCAAGUUACUGUGCAACCUGCAGAAGGACACUGUUAAAAGGCAACGUUAAUGGCAUUUGCUCAGGUUCUCUUUCAAGCUUAAAUGUAGCAAAAUUUCAGCAUUGCUUCCACUGCAGCUUCGUGUUUCAGAGCUGAUGUGUACCUUGCAGCUGUUCAAGUGCAAUUGUUUUGGUUAGUUACGAGUUCUUCUGACUGAAAUAGCUAUGUCAGUAUAAGCCCAAGAUGUUUUAGGUUUUCUGGCAUAACUUCUUUCCCUUCCUUUUCUGCUAUGUCUACUAUAUCUGGACUUGGGGAUUUGCUGAGCUUUAACGAUCCCAUUAUAAUCAGAGCAAUGCAAUUUGCCUGUAGACAAGCUCUUAAUGUCAUUUACAGUGAUUAUACCUGUGUUAAAAUUACAGUAUUGGUUCAGAGCAAUCUAAUUAUUUAAAAAUAUUAUUUCAAAA